rnacentral:rRNA from 1 species
AUUGAACGCUGGCGGAAUGCUUUACACAUGCAAGUCGAGCGGCAGCACGGGGGCAACCCUGGUGGCGAGCGGCGAACGGGUGAGUAAUACAUCGGAACAUGCCCGGUCGUGGGGGAUAACACUUCGAAAGAAGUGCUAAUACCGCAUACGUCCUGAGGGAGAAAGCGGGGGAUCGCAAGACCUCGCGCGAUUGGAGUGGCCGAUGUCAGAUUAGCUAGUUGGUGGGGUAAAGGCCAACCAAGGCAACGAUCUGUAGCUGGUCUGAGAGGAUGAUCAGCCACACUGGGAAUGAGACACGGCCCAGACUCCUACGGGAGGCAGAAGUGGGGAAUUUUGGACAAUGGGGGCAACCCUGAUCCAGCCAUUCCGCGUGAGUGAAGAAGGCCUUCGGGUUGUAAAGCUCUUUCGGCAGGAACGAAACGGUGAGCUCUAACAUAGCUUGCUAAUGACGGUACCUGAAGAAGAAGCACCGGCUAACUACGUGCCAGCCGCCGCAGUAACAC